UAGAACCUAAUUAUGCAGUGAUGCAAUAUAUUGAAAUAGCUAUAAAUUACCAAGAAAACUGAGGUUGCAUGAAUCUAAAAACCAAUGAACAUGGACCUGUUAUCAGAGUACCCAGGCUACCCAGGCCCUUCAUAAGUCAGACAAGUCCAACUAAGAGCAGUGUCUCCAUGCAGUGUAAGCAGUUCCGAGCAUACUUGUUUUGUCUUUUGUUCUUUUCUAGUUUCUUGUUCUUUUGCAAGAAGUCUACCAACCUGUGGGAAUAUUAGUGGCAAAAUCUUACUAACUUGAUGUUGAAUUUGAAGUUUAUGUGGGAAUCCAUGGCUACACCAACCCCCCAAAUAUAAUAUUUCUGAAGACACAAGGAAAUGAUAUAGACUUCAUUUUUGGCUCUUGCUCGAUUAAAAAUGGAAAAGUCUACAAAUUGUUCUUUUGCAGCAAAUCUGUUUUGGCUGUCAAAAUACAAGAGCGAAAACAUUCUUGCCCUGAGGAGAACACAUGACAAUAUGAGUACUUCCAUCCAAAAUUUCCCCAUUAAUACAAUGUGGAACUGUAAUCCUGAUGUGUAAGUGCUGAUAUUCAGAAAUACUGCUCCUUCAUGUACUCAAAAGUAAAUUUCUGCACUCCCACAGCUUGCUUCUCUCUUCCUUUCUCUUCCCACCCUUCUCACAGCAUGAAGGCAGCUCUGGAGGGUGCCUCACUGUCAACUUCUAAGAGCAAUCUCAAACAACAAGCCAAAACAUAUCGCCACAUCUGCCAUAGAUUUUUUAAUUAUUAUUAUUUUAAUAAUAGCUUAUGGCAUAUUUGUGUCUCCCCUCAGAGGCUCUUUUGCUGUGUAUACCAUAUUGCUCAGUCAAGUCAUAACUGUGUUUAAGGAUGACAGAACACCCAUCUUGUCCACUCAAUUGAUGAAAAGCAAUGCACUGUUUUUUUAACAAACCUCUCUAAGUGCUUGAACUCACCUUCAGUUAACCAAUAUUGUCUGGUAGAGGAGAAAAGGCUAUUUUUUGAUCACUUAACUUGAAACAAAGGGAAAAAUUAUUGCCUUGUGAACAAUAAUUCUUUAUUUUUCUGUGCUGAAGGGACAGUCUCUGUGAAGAAUCAUCCUUGUCUAAAUAAAAUGACCUUUAUUGAUUUAAUUUAAAACUCUUUAUUGUCUCAGCUAAAGUGAAUCAAAUGGAAUUGCUACAGCUCAGGGGAGUAUAUCACAUCACCAGAGCAUCAAUUACCUAGACGACUGCAUCUUGGAACUACAAUAAGAGCAUAGUUUCAGAAGCUUUAAAAAUAGAAAUGGACUUUAGGAGGACCAUUGAGAAAAGGCUUUAUUCCAGCAGAGAAUCUCUAAAUGUGUGCACCAUUAUCUCCCAAGCAGAAAACAUCUCUAAAAGAUGCAACUGUGGUACAUAUCUAACCACUGACAUCUGUGUUAGCUAUUAAUUGGGAAUAUAUUUUUUUUUUUUAAGUAGAACAUCUUGAGCUUUUACAAAUCUGAAGUAGAUAAAAUUCCCAACACACUGGCCUUCAACAUCUGUACUCUCCUGUGGAUUAUGCCUUAUACAAUAUUCUGGAAGAUAUGAGCAGAAACACACAGAAUUCCUUUAUGUAUUUCAGGACCUGUCUCUUGUUUUGUCUUAUUUUCUCAAAAGUGUUUAUAACAUAAAGCAGAUCUCAGCAGUAUAGGUAAGUAGUGUUCAUGGUUGUUCUCUCUGUGAGCUUGAUUGUUGAUAGGGAUAAAUAAACUUUAAACUAUGUGUCCCUGUAUAUGUUUUAUCUACUUGUGUCAGCUAAGAACAACUCAUUGAAAUAAAUAACCAACAGCCAGUCUCAACUAUUUCUCUUAGAUAGAUUUUGUCAGACAUUUUACUUUGGUCAAAUACAAAGUAUUUGGCUUCUUAGUCUGACUUUGGGAUAGAAUUGUAUUGGACCCUGAAACAUAGAAUAUUGGACUACAUAAUAGACUUUUCAUACCUUAAGUUCUAAAAGUAACUACAUUCAGAAAAAAUGCUCAGAUAAGGUUUCUUAUUUUGGCUUAACAAGUUUCUACUUUGUUUGGAGUAUUUUCUCUUUUCAUGUUUCUUAUUAUUUUCUCAUGAAAAAAAAAAAUAAAUAGUGCUGAUUCCCCUCAUGAAUUGUGAAUACUGGCAUGAAGGAAGACAUAUUACACCACAAAUUUGAGGCUUUAUCUUCAGAAGUUGUCUCAUUUGGCUCUUCACAAUGUAUUUUAUAUGAUUAAAUAGGAUAUCAAAACAACAACUUCAGAGUCUCCAGAAUUUCAGAACACCAAUUCUGACGUAACUGCCAUCUAAAAUGAAAUCUUGACUGUAUUCAUCUUUAGGAAGUUUUAACCAUGAUUUAUUUCUUUUGCAUCCAGACAAAAAGAAUAUCAAGGCUAUCAAAAGCAGCACUUUGCAGUAAAUCAUAGUGCUGUUGGAAUGGUGUCCUCUGCUCUGCUUGUGGUUUGGAGUUAUCUUACUAUACUCUUUUGCUUUUGUUUUCAAUCCAUUGUACUUUCUGCAUCAGUGAGUAAGUCUAACUAUGCCUCAACAUAUCAGGUAAGGUAUGCCUUCCAAAGACAACUCGUAUAAUGGGCUUCAUACAUAAAUCUAUUUGUAUAUAUGACAUACAUGUUUCCUGGUUGCCCUAGACUCCCUGCACAGUACAGAGACAAAUUAUGUGUUGUUAUUUUGGUAGAGGAAUGUCUACUAUCUAAUAGGAAAUAGUAAAUAGAGAUAUUAAGAUAUCUACAAGAUUUUUGUUAGAGAAAUCUCAAUUUUGACACAUGGUACUAAUUAGUCACCUACUAACCACAUACCUACCAAAGCCUUUUAACACUCACUGAAAAUAUGUGAGAUUUCUCAGAAAGAGUUUUUGUUCAUAAAUGAGAUCAUUCUUUCAGGAUAGAAAGUCUGUUAUACGCUCCACUCAGUAGCUUCCUGGACCUUGAUUCAAAGCCUAUGAAGUCACCAAGAGGUUUUGCAUUGAGUUUAUUGGCUUUGAAUGAGGCCCAGGAUAAAAAUCCAGACAAAAACUUUGACCUUGUGGUUUAUGAGCAUAUGAACAUAACUGGGACCCUUCUAGAUUAAAGAUUUGAAGAAGUCUCUUCUUGUCCUGAAAGACCAUGUAGAAUGUUCAUUUUUUGAAGAAAAAUAUCUGUGCAUUUUCAAAUGGGUCUUAGUGAGUUUUGAACAAAAGACAUUAAGCUUCAAGUUGCUGCUCUCCAGUGUUUUCCUGAGUAUGGCACCAUCAAAUGUGUUUUUUUAACCUAUCUCAUUGCUCACAUUUUGCUGGUCAGUUAAUUGUGGUAGGUUUGUUUCUAAUCUGGAGAUUAGAAAUAAUUAGAAAUAAUCUUGAGAUCUGGAAAGUUUUAAGGAUGGUCCAUUAAUGCUUCAUUACUUUACUUUGCCUUUUUGUGGUCCAAUACAUUUUAUCAACUUUUUGUGUGCUAAAUUCAUUUUCUGGCCAAUUUGAAAACACACUUUCAUAAACAUUUCACCUUUCUUUCUUUCUUUAUCAGCACUACAUGGGACAAACAACAAUGUUAGCGUGACCCAGUCUGACUUCAACAAUCAGCAACUGUACAGUAAUAAUCUGCAAAAUGGUGUUCUUCAUAGAGAGAAUAAGCUUUACAACAGUAAAGAGGCUUGGGCUUUGCCAGAAAUUUGGAACAGCUUUCUGUCCAGCAAAAAGUAUUUUUGUAAGAUACCAUUCUUCAAACAGAAUACUUCAAAGGAUAUUUGGGUUUCUUUUUCAUUUGUCCUAAAGACUAAUAGUUCAUUACCUUUUGGCUGAAUUUUGUAAUGUCAACACCUAGAGAAACUUCAAGAAAAAGGCUUUUUACAAGUGAGACACAGAACACUCCUGGAAACUGGGCUGAACAGCUCUCUCAGUGGCUGAACACCUCAAAAGCAACAUGCUCUUCCAAUCCAGCUAUAUGGCAUAGUUCUUUCACGUUGACUUAAAUAAGCUGAAAAAUGAAACUGCACUGAAGAACACAAGUCUAUCUUCAGCACCCUGCAUACUCAGCAAGGAUCCAUAGAGGGAACAAGCAAAAUAUGUCACAGAUAUUUCAUGCACUAAUGAAGACAGUCAUCCAGUUGGCUACUCAUCCAAGAGUCCACCUGAAAUACAGUAUGGAAUAGAGCAGAACAAGCAGUGAAAUUAGGUCUGUUAUGAAAUGAGAUCUCUAACAAAAUAGUAUAUACUUUCAUCAAAGGAACUGCAUGGUCAAAUAUUGAAGACAAUUAAGGGAUUCCAUGCAUGAUGGUCAGACUUUGCCUGGUACCAGAGCUUCCCAUUCAUCCCAGAGAGCUAGAGGCAAUUAUCUGAGCUUUCUCUUCUUUAAAACCAGUCUUUCUUCUACCAAGAACUUACCAUAGUUCUGGUCAAGGUUUCUCCACAGAAGAUGUCAUCAGACUAAUUUGUUUUGGAAGGUGGAUUAAGAAAAUGAAUACUACCCCAUUGCCCUUAGAUGUUGUCCAAUCUGUCUGCUCCAAGAUUCCUUAGGUCUGAAGGGACUGCACCACCAUCACAUCCCCGACAAGUAUGUUGUCUUGGACUUUCUGCCAUUUUCCCCUCUAGGGGAGGGUGAAAGGGUCACUGCCACUUGUCUUGCUGCUGAUUUCCUUAUGUAAAACAACUUCACCUGGGACCAGAGUUUGCAAAUGUGACUUCCCUUCUGCCCCUCAAACUGUGGAUCUUGAAGUUAGUGCUCCAGUGCUGAAAAGGAAAUGUUUUCCUUGCAAUUAGGUACUGAUUGCACCAAGACCAGGUACUCAAGAUAUUCUUUUCAGACCAGAGGACUUGAAGCUUAUUCUUUAUUUUAAAAUAAAAAACAGAAUUUCUGAUGUAAUUCCAAUACCGGCUGGAAGUGCUAGGAACCCUGGCACACGUCUUCAGUGACUUUCUGUCCAUCCAGCAUGAAUUGCAUGAGAACACAUCCAUCCAGAUUGCGUGAGAAAUUGUGAAUGAUUCUUCCCAAAUUGCUUGCAUGCAAAAUUCUGUUGCUAUCACUUCAAUUCAGAUUUACAUCUGAAUGAAUGUGGAAGUUGAGGAUGGAGUGUGCCAAUUGCUGCUUUUAGCUCUUAAUGCAAUAGGACAUAAUUCAUUUCAGUGUUUGACAAACUGGGAUUUUUAAAGGAAAUUGUUUAGUUCUAUAUUAUUGGAAGUGACAUUUAUAUACUCUGGAUGUUUUCUUGUGGUUCUCUUUUUCUCUAUAGUUUAGUUCUUCUGGUACUAAUAAGUUUUCCAGAACAGAAAUGCCAUGAAGUAAAGCAGUGAUUAUAUGUUAAAGCAGAGACAAUUCUGUUACUGAAAACUGAUAUAUAUCUCUUCUUACCUUCUUUAAUAUAAAUAGGAAGCAACAUACUAGAUCAAUUUCUUAAUUGAAUUGAAGUCUUGAUCCAAUGCGCUCUAAUAUCAAAUACCAAAUGGAUUUCAGUUCAGACCUUUAACAGUCAAAUAAUUGGGCAGUAUGAAACACAGAGAAUUAGUAAUCUCUUCUUGUAUGAUGAAGUUCCUGAUGUUGUAAUAGUUCUCUUACUACCAUCCAGUGGUAUUAUUGGCACAUUUCCAUCUUAUUGUUCUUAUUCCCCCAAGAUUUGUUUCACCAGUAUUCACUCAUUUUUAGGCAUUCUUUCCAUUGCUUAGUGUAUCUGAUAUUACACCGUGGCACUAAAUUAACCUAAGCCUGUGCAUUCCUUUUGCCAGGCCAAGGAUUGUCUCCAUUUCCCAGUGUGCAGCUAUGUUUAUACCAAGAACACAGUGUUAAACACCUGAGUCCUGCUUUCCUGAGUACUUAUGCUCCCCAGCUCCCCACUCCCCUGCCACUCCAUAUCAAACCCUCUCAUUUGCUCCUCUCUCCUUGGACCCUCUCAGGACCUACACCCCACUUAGAGUUCUUGCAUGUUCCCACUUCCCAGCCCUCCAGUAGACCAUCUACCAUUCACAAUUGUAUUUUGCCUGAUUUGUCUUUCUCUUCGACAGUAUAUUGGAAAAACCAAAGAGAAUAGCUAAAGCAAGGGCAUUGUUUCACUGGUAUGUGUUAAUAGUUUUCUGAGAGUGGGUCUUUGAUUUAUAGACAAUUAAAGUUGCUCAGUUUACUAACCAGAUGCCAGGGGCUCUGUGUGUCACCCUCCUUUUCAUCCUGCAGCUUUCUGAUUUCCACCCAAACCCCUAGGGUUCUGCCCACUGACAUUUAGAAUAUCCCCUGGAAGUGAUUGGAUGUGGCAUUCAAAAGCUGCCACAUUAGGUCCAAACAUUUAAAGAGAAAUGCCAUCCUGAUGACUCCAAAGUUUUAUAAACAGUCAAAACAUGGCACUGCAAGUUCCCCACGCUUACUGUCUCUCAAUGAUUUCCAGAACAAAUGUAUUUUGUACACAAGCAAAAGCACGUUUUUUUUUCUAACUUUUCUAAUUUUGCAAGCACAGUCUGGACCCUGAUAUUCAUGUCUGAUUUUUUUCAUUCUCAUGCAUCAACAGCAUUACCAGCAACCCAGCAGAUCAAACACAACCCUGAUCAGCUUUGAAAAACAAAACAAAAAACGAAAAAUUCUUCCUGCUGUGUCUUCUGUCUCCAGGGCUCCCCAUUUUCUUAACGUUAAUGUCUAUUUCAAUCGUGAAGCAACCAUUACAUGGUCUUAAAAAUCAGGAGCUUAACUUAAAGCUAAUAUAUGUAUUCCUUUACUUUUAAAAUGCAUGUGUGUUAGUUUCUCAAACUUUUGUUUACCACUGCGAAAAACAGAAUAGAAUUUGUAUGUUACUACAUUCAAAUACUUAAGUUGGAUCUUUCAGAGCAACAACAAAUAGUGUAAGAGGCUUGAGCACAGAAGUUACUAUAACUGGUUGCAUUAAUCUGUCAUUCUGUCAUUGACAGACUGGGUGAAAUAAAACACUUGGCUCACUCUGGUUAUAGGUCUGUGAUCACUCUAAACUGACAUAAGUGGGGGCUGAUGCCAAAAGGAGGUGGUCUCAGUCCUGCUACUUUUCUUGUGCUGAUCCUACUUUUCAGUGGCUGUCUGAUGAACUGGAUCAGAGGACUAACUGACUGGUCUUCUGACAGGUUAGUUAUUAUCUGGAUCGGUUCCUGGCCCCAAAAAUUAUGUGCCUGCAUGAAUUUUACUUGUACCGACAUUCCAGAAAAUUAUGGAAUGUGAAAUUGAGGAAAAGAUGUUAAAUGAGGAAACAUUUUUUUUUCAACUAUUCUUUGGGAUAUAAACAUACCCUUUCCAAUCAGUCUUGCUGUAUUUUCCAUGCCAACUGAAAACUGAACUUGCCCAAAGCAAUCAGCUUUGUUUCCAGUCCAGAUCCACUGAAAGCUUCCUUAACCACACAACAAGCAUCAGGCUCCCAUUGCUCUACUGCCAUAUGGGUAGUGACUAGAGGAUGCUGUGUGCCUUUCAGCUUUACCUACCUGCUCAUGUUCAUGACAGCAUGUUCAUGUUCAUGACAGUAUAAGCUACAUGUACACCUACAGAGUAGAUGAAGAUCAGCCAAUAUUCCACAAGACUUCUCACUGCCAGAUUUGCUUAUGGCAAAUAUAGAUUUUACAUGAAUUCCACCAUCAAGAUGUACAUUGACGUGUCAUUCUCCUUCAGGAUAAAUUGAUGUGAUAUGCAACAUAAAAUACAAAAACACAUUUUUACUA